rnacentral:lncRNA from 1 species
GGCAAAUGGAACUGUGAAUUUAACUUGUGUAGUAUCAAAAAAAGUUUCUCUGCGAAUCAUUGUAGAUUGUAUGAUGUACUUUGCUAGUACAUUGCCCUCAAAUUCUAUGCAGGCAAGCAUGCCCCCUUUUGAAUAACACCUUGGUUAUAUAUGCAUUAUCUUACUAAAGAUGGCAUGAUAAGGAUGCAAUAUCACUUUCAUUUGACAUUGGCAUCAAAAUGUAUGGCUCUGUAUCCUCCAUUUGCUUGAUGAUAUUCUAGGAGGCCAGUUUUCUUUUAUUCCAGUCGCGGCCUGAUUUAUUCCUAGAAGCAUACUUACAGCUUAUAGAUUUGGUGGAGGUGGGCACAAUCACGCAUGUCAUAUGCUUUGCUUUGUCGCAUACCUGUCAGAAAUAUCAUGGUUAGUUUAAAAUAGCAGGUCAGACAUUGCAUGCUACUAACCUAUACAAUGCUUGAUGCCUUUAGCUGUAUUUCUUUGUGCUGAUACUGAACUUCUCGGGGAGAAUACCUUUUCGAUAAAUAAGUUCGGGGGCUGUGCCUGUGGCUAUUUUUGUUAAUCUCGGUGAUGUGGUUUUUGUCAAACUAAUAGUUUCGGUAGUCAAUAUUCUGUUCAGAUGAUCCACUCUGCAUGAGUUUACUCAUACCUAUUAUGACCCUAUGGGAUGUUUGGUUCCAUUUUACUGUAUAUGUAAAAUUCUCUGGUAGUUUCAGUAAACAGUUAGGUUUUAUUAGGGUGCAUGUGGAUAAGGUGUACUAUGAUAUACUUUCUAUUCGCUUGUUACACUUAAUGUUCAUUUGAUUUCUCCCCAACUUGCAGAUUAGACAGAAUGAUCGUUUGGCUGUUAGCAAGUUAGUUUCUAGUUUGACAAGGGGAUCUGUCCGUUCUCCUCUUGCACAAUGUCUUCUUAUUCGUUACACAAGCCAGGUAACCCAAUAACCCAUAUCUUGCUCUAUUUAAAACUAGGUAAAAUAUGGGAAUUACUAAAGUACAAAGGGCAAUUUACAGGUUAUGCGUGAGUCAAGCAUGAACACUCAAAAUGGUGACCGCCCAUUUUUUGAUUUUCUGGAAUCAUCCCUCAGACAUAAAGCAGAAAUGGUGGUCCUGGAAGCUGCACGGAAAAUAACAGAGAUGGAUGUUACAAGCCGUGAAUUGGCACCAGCGAUUACUGUUUUACAGUUAUACUUGAAUUCAUCCAAGCCUGUGCUUCGAUUUGCUGCUGUCCGGACUCUCAAUAAGGUUAUCUAUGCAUGGUCCUCCAGCUUAGCUGUUCAAAAGUUAUUGCCGCCCUAUCUGUUUCUUGAUUAACCAUUAUAUUGCAGGUUGCUAUGACACGCCCUCUGGCGGUGACAAACUGCAACGUAGACUUGGAGAGUUUGAUGUCAGACCAGAACAGGAGUAUAGCGACCCUGGCAAUCACUACUCUUCUUAAAACUGGCAAUGAAUCAAGUGUGGAUCGCCUCAUUAAACAAAUUACCAAUUUCAUGUCUGAUAUAGCAGAUGAAUUCAAGAUAGUUGUUGUUGAAGCUAUACGGUCUCUGUGCUUGAAGUUCCCACUAAAAUAUCGCUCAAUGUAUGUGAAUAACUGAAAGAGUGUUGAUUUUGUGCUUUGAAAUUCCACUGUUUUUAUUAUGUCUUCUGUCUCUCAGGUUGAAUUUUUUGAGCAACAGCUUGAGGGAAGAAGGGGGCUUUGAGUAUAAAAAGGCCAUAGUGGAUUCAAUAGUUGCUUUGAUCAGUGAAAUACCAGAUGCCAAAGAAAUUGGCCUGCUUCAUCUCUGUGAAUUCAUUGAAGACUGUGAAUUCACAUAUCUUUCUAGUCAGGUAACUACAAUUAUUAUGUUAUUGCUGUUGAUAAAGAAUUUAUUCGUUAACUUCCAAUCUUCCAGCUAUCUUUGAAUUAAGUAAUCUCCAUUUGUUGCAGUUAUUGAUGUCCUCUAAAAUAGUAAAGUGCUUAUGCAUAGAAAACACUUUCAUGGUUUAAGUCAUGGUUUUGCACCAGUAGUGAGGUCUAUCUAAAAGUGCAUGUCUAGACGGCAUGAGAUGUUUUUUGCACCAAAUGAUUGCUUUGGGUGGUUUUCUAUUUUUGUUCACUGGGCUGUUCAUGGUGCAACAGAGACGCCAGAGAGAACAAUUUGUUUACUGUAUUCAUUUCUGUUAUGGAGUCCCCUUUAUUUUUCAUUUUGGUUAGAUUUGAGAAAAGCCAGUGUCUCCUAUGUUAGAUUUUGUGAGAUUAAUAUUCUAAUAUAUAUGUUCUACUGAAUAUAUUCACAUGUGGCCAUUAGCAAUAGUGCAAUACAAACAAUAUGUGGAUUUAGAACAUGCAGCAACUUCAAGUGCUUAUGUAUUAUCUCAAUAGUGUUUGUUGAUCCACUGUGAUUGUGAGAAUUGGGAUUUUUUUGGUAGAUUUUGCAUUUUUUGGGAAAUGAAGGGCCAAGGACAUCAGAUCCAAGCAGAUACAUUCGCUACAUUUACAACCGCGUGAUAUUGGAAAAUGCGACUGUUCGUGCUAGUGCUGUCAGCACGUUGGCAAAGUUUGGUGCCCUGGUUGAUACGCUCAAGGUAUGUCAACUUAGAUUAGUAAGUGUAUUUUUAUAUUAUCGCCUUUCCUGUGUAUUUCCAGCUCAUUUAGGAUUUCUGUAUUUGUUUUUCAGCCUCAGAUCUUUGUUCUCUUGCAACGAUGCCUGUUUGAUACUGAAGAUGAGGUAAGUUUAGAAUUCUACUUGUUUUAAUAUGCUUUUGAGCACAUAAGAAACUUCAAACAAUCCUUCAUCAGAUUUGGUAGUCUUAUUCAGCGGAGUACCUGAUAAGAUGGACAGUAUGGCAUGAACCACAGAAUUCCUGUGUUAACAAGAGUGCCAUUGGUGUUUGCUGUCAUAGGUUCGUGAUCGUGCUACACUCUAUCUCCAAACUCUUAGUGGUGAAGUUGCCAUUGGUAACGAUGAGAAGGAUGCGAAGGACUUCCUAUUUGGAUCCUUUGACGUGCCAUUAGCCAACCUGGAAGCAAGCCUAAGAACUUAUGUAUGUUUAGAAUGAGCAUUACAUCCUGCAUACUUCAAAUGAAUGCAUGUUUUUUGCUUAUGUCUUAAGAACUUAACAGGAACCUUCAGAAGAGCCAUUUGACAUAUCUUUGGUGUCGAGAGAAGUCAGGUCGCUACCACUUAAAGAGAAGGCAGCCCCUGGCAAGAAGCCACCUGCCGCUGCCGCUGCCCCUGCACCUGUUUCAACCGUUGAUGCUUAUCAGAAAAUGCUUUCAUCCAUUCCUGAGUUCUCUGGGUUUGGAAGACUCUUCAAGGUUUGUAUACUGUUCUGUCUUUUAAAAUUUGAUAAGUGCAUAUGCUAAUUCCAUCAAUUUCUGCAGUCCUCUGAACCCAUGGAGCUGACAGAGGCAGAAACUGAAUAUGCUGUUAGUGUGGUUAAGCACAUUUAUGACGGCUACAUUGUAUUGCAGUACAAUUGUACAAACACUAUAGAAGAACAACUGCUAGAAGAUGUAAGUAUCUACAUUCCAAGUAUUUUCUUAAAGGACUAAAUGUUAACUCACACUGAAGGUUUGGUAAAUGUCUUUGCUUCUUCCAGGUCACUGUUUGCGUUGAUGCCUCUGAUGCUGAGGAGUUUUCAGAGAUUUGUUCAAAGCCUCUUACAAGCUUGCCGUAUAAUUCACCCGGGCAAGUUUUUGUUGCUUUUGAAAAGCCAGAGGGUGUACCUGCUGUUGGGAAAUUUUCAAAUUUGUUGAAGUUCACAGUUAAAGAGGUAAACAUAAUGAUGUUUCAUGUGUAUAAUCUUCUCCCAGUAUCUGACAUUAUUAUAGACAUUAAUAAUAAUAAUAUAGUUUGUUUUUCAAUAACUGUAGUUUUGUUAAGUUCUGUAUCAUAUGGAUUUGAUUUGGAAUUUUCUGUCCAUGGCAUAUGAUUUAGCUUGUCUGGAAACUUUCUGAACUGUCUGGAAUUCUACUAUUACCUUUGGUUCUGAAGAAGUUUUUGGGAAAUAUUCUAAGAUUGACAUGGCUAUAUAUUUUUAAUUUAGAUUGAGAAUGCUAAGACAUGGGCUUUAAUGAAAUUGAAUUUGUAUUGUUCUAUAACUAAAUACCUUCCCAUUUUGUCAGGUUGACACAACUACAGGGGAAGCUGAUGAGGAUGGUGUGGAGGAUGAAUACCAGUUAGAGGACUUUGAAAUUGUUUCAUCUGAUUAUAUGCUGAGGGUUGCUGUCUCCAACUUUAGGAACGCCUGGGAAAAUAUGGACCCAGAAAGUGAGCGUGUCGAUGAGUAUGGACUUGGGGUUAGAGAAAGUUUGGCUGAGGCUGUCAAUGCUGUCAUUAAUAUCCUUGGGAUGCAGCCGUGUGAGGUCAGCUUCCAAUUUUCAAUUUUUUUCUCUGAAAAGCAGUUGGUCAAUUUCCCUGCGCAUCAUUUGGUAUUUCUUGGAGCAUCGGUAGUGAAGCUUAACCUAAGAACUUAGCACAUCAAAUGUCAACUUGUUAAUCUUAUGCGUUGCAUUCGGUGUUGGGAUGAUUAAUAUGCAAGUGGUAUGGUUGGUGAUGUUCUAGGCUAUAACAUUGGAAUGAUCUGUGUGCAUAGUUGGGAAUAUCAGGACAGUUAUGUUGGCAUGGUACUUGGACUUUGUUUUUCUUUAGAUAAUGGUACUUGGAUGUUUGCUAAGUGCUCCAGUAACUUUGUUUUUCACUUUUCAGGGCACUGAGGUUGUACCAAGAAAUGCAAGAUCACACACCUGCCUGCUAUCUGGCGUGUUUAUUGGCAACGCGAAGGUCCUAGUUAGGUUGUCAUUUGGACUGAGUGGGCCCAACGAAGUGGCAAUGAAAUUGGCUGUGAGAUCAGAUGACUCUGAAGUCAGUGAUAAGAUUCAUGAGAUUGUUGCCAGCGGAUAAAGCGCAAGACAUACAAAUCUUCUGCCAAAACAAUGUAGAGCGGGUAGAUAGCCUUUAUACUAAGAUGCUUACAAGGCUUGUUCUUCGUGGAUAUUCUCAGAUAGCGUAUGCUGUAAUCUUUUUUUUUUUGGCUGUACAAAUAACAUCAGAUACUAGUUGAUGUUUAUUCAAUACUGAUUUCAUGGAAUAUUCGGAAUGGAAAUGUACUGUACCCUUCUGUGGUUCCGCAAAGGUGUGAAUGCGGGGCUGAAGACUGAAGUUGCUGUCUGGGUGUCAUACUGUCAUGUGUCAGCUAAGGCCUAAGGCCUCGUUCGUUUCUUGUCAUUGAUUCCUGGGUAAGCUUGACCAAGAACAAAUUGUAUAAGCAUUUCCGGCCAUGAACGGUUCCAGGAACUCAUUCCCUACCUACCCAAGGUGGCCUAAGAGUAGUAAGACGAAUAAACAUAACUACUCUACAACUGGAAAUAAAUAAUCUCCUGUGGUGAUUUUUUAGUGAUAAAUUAUCAUGCCAUCUCCUAAGUGCUCAUUUUUUUGAGGCUCCAUUUUGAGUUGAGGCUCUGAUGAUUAGGUACCUCUACGAUCUGUGUACCUCCAAUUUGAUUUUUUGGAGACGUGGAUCCUAUUUGGCACUAGUCCAGCUCAUAGAUCAAUGCAUGGUUCUGUUUACACAUGUUUAAUCUAAAAUAAUACUACCUCCGUUUUGUAUUUCAAUGUCCUUUUAGGUUUGUCCUAAAUUAAAUAUUUGUAUAUUUGACCAUCGUUUUUAGAAAAAAAUGCUUUUAUAAUAUAUACUCCAUCCGGUCCUCUAUAUCUGGCGUGGGCGAACUAAUUCCAGAGACCAAGAAGGGUAUUAACUGUCUAUUGGUCAGCCGUCAGCAUGCAAUCGAGCUAGGACGGAUGCAACAUUUUGGUUGCCAAGCUGGGACGCACGCACAAGACUUCGUUGCCGAGAACGCUUCGUUUAACAUGCUCCGUAAUUAAUUCUCUCUCGGUAUUCUAGUCCGCCAGAUAUUAUGGAUUUAUGGCCAAACCAAAAAACAGGCAGGCGCUCCAUAGAGGACCGGAGGGAGUAAUAUAUAGGUUAUAAAACUUUACAAAUUUUGAAAAUAAAUAAUCAAAGGUAGUAAUAUUUGACUUAAAGACAAACCUAAUGUAGCAUGUAGACAAAGAAUGGAGCAACACAAAUUCUCAACCAAUUAUGUUUAUUGUGUUCCCAAUAAAGACUUGUUCGGUUCAGCUGAAUCCGGGGCAGGAACGAUUCCUGUUGAGAUAGUGGUUCCUCUUCAAACGAACGUGACCUAAAGAAUAGAGAUGGCCACCAUAAUAUUUUUCUAUGAGUUUGAGUUGGACUGAACAAUACAUAAAUGACCAAGACUAAAAUGAGCAAGAAGACAAGGUCACUAAAAAAAACUUAACUAAAGAAGACCGAAAGGAAAUAAAAAUUCAAAUUAAAUUGCCGGGUUAUUAAGAAAAAAGAAGCAAGAAGACCUAAAGGACGAAAGUUUUUUUUUUUUAAAUAAAAUACUUCAACUUUAAAAGAAAACUGGAAGGAAAUAAAAAAACCUCAAAUUUAAAAAUGUUCCAUUGCCGGGAUUUGAACCCGGGUCGCCUGGGUGAAAGCCAGGUAUCCUAACCGGACUAGACGACAAUGGAUCUGUGCUUGAGAGAACCUGUAAAACGAAAAUGUAGAUAAAGCUCAGUCCAAAGCCCACCAACACCAAAGCCGCCCGUUCUCAGCCUGCAGUCUUCUACCUGGCUCCCUGCCGCUGCUGGGUGCUGUCCGCUAGGCUGCAGUCCUUUUCUCCACACUCCGCCCGCGCAUUCUGUCGAACACCUCGUCCUCUACAUCCUCAUCCCCGCCUUCCCAAUCCAGAACUCCUAAACCCUAGCCCUUCUUCCCGCCACCACCAUCCAUCCACAAUCCCAAGCGGGCCAUGCGGAAGAGGUAGCCUCCGCCGAUGGCCUGCUGCUUCCUCCGCGUCGCUGCGGCGCCCCGCCUCCUCCUCUACCGCGCCGCCGCUUCGCGGCAGCUCCCGUCGCCACUCACCGUAUUCAGGAAGGUAAAUGUUACACUAAAUCCGUUCUCCUCUUUUGGCGUGACGACUUGCGAGCGAAGUGUGUUUGUGGGACGCCCAUUAGCCCUAGUAGCAGCAGGAAGUUCACGAGCAAUCUACUGGUACUUGGAUUGCAUUGCCAUGAUUUAUGCUUUUAUACUCAUAUUCGAUGUGCAAAAUCGGAAUUGUGUAGUUCGAUUACUGUGUUAAGGUGGUAACCACAUUAUAUGCAGUUUUGGACUGCCACUGAAUUUAUUUUUGCUCAUAGUUGCAUAGCACGCUGGAUUGGUCAAGCAUUCUUUUUAGCCCUCGAAAUGAUUGCUGUUCAAAGUUCAUCAUGAUAACUUCAAUGAUGCUAGCAUCAAUUAACUGCUCUUAUUUUCUCUUUAAUAUCAGGGUUUUUCGGAGCAGUCAGUUCUGCCAGUCACAGACUCGUCUGAGUGUUUUCAAGGACCAUCAGUGCAGAAUACUCCACGGAUUCCACUGUAUGAUGACAGCAUAUCCUCAAGCAUAUUAGACACAUUGUCGAAUCCGACUGAGGUUGUCCCUCAUGCUGAUCCUUCAAAGAGCAGAAUAAUGCUAGUUGACGGAACGUCGGUUAUGUACAGAUCCUACUACAAGAUAUUAGGUUAAUUUCUUCCUGAUCUUCUUCUUCACUGCACCGCUUUGUCGAUAUGUGUUGUUUGCCUUUUGCUUCCUGUUUCUUAUAUUAGUAAACAUUUAGAAAGGAAACAAAAUUAUGUCUACAAUGAACUAUAUACUUCCAUCGGCAAAUGGUAUACUGGAACUGAACUACUGAAUUGUUGGCCUUAGUUUUUGCAUUAUUUUAAAGCUCUAGAAUAAUCAAGAGUCAUAUAAUGGGAAAAAAUAUUUUCAAAUCAUGUUUAAUUGAAUAUUUUCGUAAUAUAGAUCCAUUCUUGCCAUAUCAUUUACCCAUAAGAUGUGCACUGUAUUUGUAGACUGACGGUUUAGCUGCUGGAUUGCCUAGACUAAGCUAGGCAUAUCUGGUAUCUUGAAAAUUGUCCUUCUUGCUUUAAUUUGUCCUAUGAUGUUUAAAGCUUGUUUGACUAGCAUCUUGUUCUUCUUUAGUUAUGUUAGUGUAAUCAUGUCAAAGUUAUGUCUGACAAAAGCUCCUUUACCUGAACUGCAAGCAGCUGCUUGACAUUGUUUUCUAUUUUUCCCCCUCUUCGUCAUUUUCUCUGCAUUUUUUAAUUACUGAAAUCUGCAAGUCAUCUCUUUUUUCUUUAACAUUUGUAGCACAGCUGCAGCACGGCCAGUUGGAGCAUGCUGAUGGAAAUGGGGAUUGGGUUUUAACUAUAUUCAAAGCUCUAUCCCUGGUAAGUAGUAUUGUUCCAUAGUCAAAUGGAGUCCUUGAUUCUAAGAAAUUCAAACUCUACCCUUAGGUUUCUAUUCCAUCUAGGGAUGAAAACGGUACGAAUAUUUUCUGACCGUAUUCGAGACCGAAUUCGUUUAGAGGGGUUCAGAUCUGUCCGUAUCCGAGUCCGAAUAUUCAACAUCCGAUACCGUAUCCGUAUCCGAAUACUUAAAUCAUAUAUUUAUGAUGUCGACAUCCAAUCGUAUCUUAUCCGACAUGAUUGACAUUAUCCGUAUUUGAAUCCGAAUUCGACCAGAAAUAUGAAAACAAAUAUGAUAUCGAUGAUAUCCGUCCGUAUCCAAUCCGUUUUCAUCCCUAAUUCCAUCUGAUCCCAAAUACAAGUUCAUCUAGCCUUUUUUUUCUGAUGAAAUGGACCAAAUAUAAGUUCAAUGCACUUUUUUGCUUCAUUCUUCCAUAUCUAUCCCUACUUAAGUGAAUACACAAUACAACACACUAAUCAAUGCAAUACACUUGCCACCCCACUCUUUAUUGUAGUAAUGAUUGAUAGGCAAUAUAGUCAAUGCACCUCUCACCUUAAAUUGUGCUCAAGUCUAAAUGGACUUAUAUUUUGAUCGGAGGGGGUAUGCAUUUUUACAGCUUAAUUUCCUAAUUCAUUUGUCACACAUAGAGUAAAUGGACUAUGAGCAUCAUUCAUGUCCUCUCUUUCUGUAGCAAAACUCUCAUGAUGUUUUGGAAUUGUGGAAUAGAUAGAUACUAGUUUACAAAGUCUACUAGCAUGGAUGUAGUUGGCCAUUUGACCAUUUUCAUUACAAUUUUGGAUUUGCUGGUAAGACAAAGGAUUUGCUAUGCAUAGCUGACUGCCUGACUGUUUCAGGAUUAACCUGUUUGCAUCUUAAAAGAGUUCAGUAUCAGUUAAUGUUAAUAUAAAUUUUACUUUUAUACUUUCUGUUGUGGGUUCACAUUUUUUUUAGUACUCCUCUGUUCCAAAAUGGAGGUCAUUUUUAGUUUUGUCCUAAGUGAAACUGAUAUAAAUCUGACCAAGUUGAUAGAAAAAUAUAUUAACAUCUACAAUACCAAAUAAAAGCACUAUCAAGACAUAUUUCAUGGGAAAUUUAACGAACUAAUUUGAUGUUGGUGCAUUUUUCUUUGAACUUGGUUGACUUUAGAGAAGUUUGACUUAGAACAAAACUAAAAUGACCUACAUUUUGGAAUGAAUGGAGUAGUGAGGUGACAAACUACAUAUUAACAUGUUAUUACAACUUUAUAUUGAGCUCUGUGUGUUAUACAUCAUUGUGAUUGUUCUGAUUUUCUUUUGCAGCUUCUUGACAUGCUGGAGUUCAUUCCAUCUCAUGCUGCGGUAUGCUCAGUUCUAGCAUGGUUUCUACUGGCAUCAAUGAUCAAUAUCUGUUGUUUCCUCAUAGCUUUCCGUCACUUAUGGUUUUCUUAACCGAUAUGUAGGUUGUGUUUGAUCACGAUGGUGAGCUCUGUGCCCAGGAUAAUUCAUAUAUUGAGUAUACACAUUCUGUUUCAUGUUUUAAUAUUCAUGCAGUAACUCUUAUUGAUCAAUCUCUGCAACACACACUUGUCACAUUUUUUCAUCAAUAAGCAUUGGAUCUUUGCCUUAAUAUAACGAUGGUACUGUUGAACUUAUUGAGCUUAAUAAUUGCACUAGACCAGCGUAUUGAUCCGCUGCAAGCUUUACCUUGCUAUGUGAUUUCUUGUUACCGUUCACGAAUUGUUUUAUUCAAUAUAUUUUCAUUAGAGAUGUUUGGUUAAAUUUGAGAUCAAUUUAUUUAGGGUCUUUAUUGUUCGGGUGGGGUGGGGUGUUGGUUCUAGUUUUUAUUUUUCUCCUUGAAUUUCUUCUUGGAGCUGAACAUUCCUGGUGGAUGAGAUUGUGAGAUGGACCUAGUAUCCACGCAAAUUUAAAGUGAUGCAUUUCCUCAAGUUCUUAAAGCAAUGAAGUCACCAACCUUUUCUUUUCAGGAGUUCCAUAUGGUCAUUAUACUGCCAUGCCAUCCAAAGAAUGUCACAUGGCAAAAGGUAAGAGUGUAAGAUAUCUCAAGUUGAUGGGAUCAUGGUGGAAGGUAGUCUGUGACUGUCAAUAAGCAUCUUGGGGAUGCAUCAGAGAUCUUGGACUGAGCCUCAAUCCAUGAAUUGUGUUUGAUGGCCUGGGCCCUGGCUUGCACAUAAGGUCAUAAGCAAUGUUUUGUUGAGCUCCAUUCCUUGGUCAAGAAAGUGUUGGGUAGAGAGAAGUAGGAACGGUAUAGGAGUGUUGGGUAAACCAGUUUUGGAAUAUUGCAUAUUGUCCUCGUAGCACUGCCAACUUUUAUUUUCUAAGAAUUUUAUGACACUUACUUUCUUGAUUCUUAUUAUCUUGGCAUCCCUAUUAUCUUUCCAGUUACUCUUUACUAAAAAAACACAUAGUAUAUUGGAAGCAACAAACAUAUGAGGCGUCAAGGGCAUCUUUGAUGCUUCAAGUUGGGAGGGAUAUUUUGCUUACGCAUUGGAAAGAGAGCAUGCCAACACUUAAACAUUGAUGUUUUCAUUAGCCACUUUUUAGAAGAUACCUUUGCUAUGGAGGGUUGGGUGCCAAUUGAGUGUUUUCAGCUGUUGUAUCAUGUUACUCUCAUCUUUUGAAUUCUAUAAAGAAACGAUACCAUUCUUUUCUCCCCCUUUAGGAAUGACCUUUCGUCAUAUGUUGUACCCUGCUUACAAGAGCAACCGCACUCCAACACCCGACACAGUUGUCCAGGGCAUGCAAUACUUGAAGGCAUCCAUUAAGGCGAUGUCAAUAAAAGUAAUUGAGGUAAAAAUAUAUCAGUUAUGGAUUUUCUUACAAUCUGGGUAGCUAUUUACUAUUUAGUAUUGUUUGGGGAACACGCCAUGUGCCACGAAGCUGCAUCUCUGUUAAAUGAGAUAGCUGUUGAUAUUUGGCAUUGCCAAAUAAUUGAUUCAGGUUCCAGGCGUUGAAGCUGAUGAUGUUAUUGGCACCCUGGCCGUAAACAGUGUUUCAGCUGGUUACAAGGUAAACACUGGAGCCAUUGCUCACUUUCAGUUAUUCUAUCCAUCAACUGUUCAUCAUUGAUAAUACCUAGAAUGUUCUAUUCGAACUUUAGGUCUUGAAAAGAUCUGACGAGAAAAUUUACAACUAACUGGAUCAUCCAUUCCUAAAUGCAGCACCACACCCACCCACAACACCACAGGCACAUAAUAUAUUCACAUAUUUUGGUUCUUGUUUAUGAUGAGUGCCUUUUGGUCUUAAAAUGCCCCUUCUGAAGGUACGGAUUGUCUCUCCUGAUAAAGACUUCUUCCAAAUUUUGUCACCUUCUUUGCGUCUGCUCAGGAUUGCUCCACGUGGAUCAGGGUAAGUUAAAAUGUUUUGUUACAUUUCAAGUACUUAACUGAACAUUUGAAAUAGUUAAGUUUUAUGAUUUGGACAUGCAGGAUGGUUUCAUUUGGAGUUGAAGACUUCGUCAAGCGAUAUGGAGCACUGAAACCCUCACAGUUUGUUGAUGUUGUUGCACUUUCAGGAGACAAAGCUGACAAUAUACCUGGUAGCCUUUUGUUACUGUUUUGUCCUAUGAUCCAUGCCUCUUCUAACAAGUGAUGUCCUUUUUCCUUCUUUUUUUACUCUAGUAAAAAAGAAUUAUGUAUGUGAACAAGGUUCAGCUAGGCGCUAGGCGUAAUCGGGGCGCUGACCCAUUGCCUAGCGCCUAGUCGGGUGUACUCGGUCCUAGGCGCUCCUAGGCGUUUUCCUAGGCGUUUUGGCAAUAUAGCCAUAAAUUAUAUAUAUAUUAUAUAUAUGACUAUUGACUAUAUAUAUAUAUGUAUAUAACUACUACUCCCUCCAUCCCAAAUUGUAAGUCGUUUGACUUUUUUCACCCCAAGUUUGACCACUCGCCUUAUUCAAAAAAAUUGUGCAAAUAUAGUCAAAUUUUAAGUCAUUCUUGAAGAACUUUUAUUAAUAAACCAAUACACAAUAAAAAUAGUGAUAUUUUGUACAAAACUUUGAAUAAGACGAGUGGUCAAACUUGAUAUUAAAAAAGUCAAACGACUUACAAUUUGGAAUGGAUUAAGUAUAUAUGAGUCACAGACUCACAGUAUUUGUGCCAGUAGACAUACCUGAGUCCUACUUCUGCCUAUUCCUAGCUCCUGCAUGGCUGCAACUGCAACACUUUUUACAGCUAGUAUUAGUCAAUAACUCAAUACUCAAAUAGACAGCUAGAUAGGACACUAAAUUGUGACUUAUCUGGAUGAUUUCAGCAGCCUCCCAUCCAUGAGCACACCAUACCUCCAUUUCAGCAGCCUCCCAUCCAUGAGCACACCAUACCUGGACCAAACUGUCCAAUUGCUUCACACAUUUGCUUGAACUCAUCAUUAUCA